UUGUGUUUCCCAGGCAGUGGGGAGCAAGAGGGCAUUUGGUUCUGCAAGAUGUUUAACCAGAUCUGAAAACCUCACCAUGGAAGUUUAGGAAGAGGCGAUGUCCCACUGCAGCCAGGUGGAAGGGAGUGCCAGGUGUAGAUCUCCUGUGUUCUAAUGACUUCAGAAAAAUUGCUGCUUGUCUUCCCUCCCCCACGAGGCUGAAUCCCAGCACCCCAGAUUGUCGUGACUGCCUGGGAUUGGUGACAUCUCCAGUGAAAUGUGUUGGAGCAUCAAAACAGAGUGGGAGAAGCACAGCCUGGCUCCGGGAGCCAAAAAUAGGUGAAGUGCAAGAUAUCUUACCUUAGUCACUCCUAAUGGGACAGCCAUCAUUCACUUGUCUCGACUGAGAAUUAGUGAAACCUUUCAUGUGUCAGAGCCACCUGUAGCCAGGAACAAGACCAAGAUCUUCCUCUUCCGGGUGUGGAAACAGCGAGGAAUCCCCCAACAGAUCUGAUUCCAGCCGUAUGACCCAACACCUCAGCUGACCCUUUCAGGUAACACACAGAAAGGGCCAGGCUGUGCUGCUGUUGGUUCCUGCCACAAGCAAAGGUGAGGUUUGUGAGGUGUGCUGGGAUCCCCAGGAGCGAUGGGCUGUAUUUUCCAGGCAUCCUCAGCUGUUGGUCUAAGGUUAUUUCUUUGAUUUCCCAAGCCCAGAGGCAAAAGACCGUUUCUGUGUGCUAAGCAUCAAUUCUUUUCCUUUUCUUCUUAUCCUUUCUCCUCUCCACAGUUUUCCUCUUGCUUUGAAUUCUCUCAGACCGCUGCCAUCUCACUUCCCCUGGCACAGGAGAAAACGUGAUGGUGUUUACAGAGCAGAAGCACUGGGACUCAGGAGAUGUGAAAGGUGGCCCUGCUGGCUCUACCUCCAACACCUCUCCAUGGUUCUGACUUCCUGUCAGGAUAACCUGGACUAAAAUCCCUCUGUGCUUUUCCUUUUCCUACAGUGUCUAACACAACCUCAGAUUGGAUUCCAGUAAACCCUGCAUUUUGGAUUUUAGGUUCCCUCCAUCUACCUCUGAAAACCCUAAAUAAACAAACAUUGGAUUAGACCUCAACAGAUCCCUUGCUCAGCAAGGGAAGCCUUUAAAAGCAUUUUACACCAACUGCCCUGUUUGUGUUUCAGACUCUGUCAACCUGGCACUCAAGGAGCUCCACCUUCCUCUCAGCCAUCUCAGGGAACUCAGCUCAGUGUUUGGAAGGUUUGCCUCCAUUUAUGACCCUCCCUGAUUCCAGUGAGGAGCUGGAAUUGCUGUUGACCUCAGGAAUGACAGAAGUAUACGCUGGGGUUGGAGGGUUUCUGGCAUAUGACCUGCUAACCUAGAAUUUGCUUGGCAAAGUCCAGAGGAUGACUUUUAACCUCAGAGCAGUUUGCAAAACCACAUCUGUGACCAAUAAAUGUAAAAAAUUAAUGAAAAAAUAAAUCUAGCCCCUACUGAAGGAUGAAAGACAGCACACCUUGCUGGGCACUGGUGCUGGAAUCAGGAUGGAGAUUGGGACUAAUCGGACAGGCCAUGUGCCAGAUGUUGUCCAUGAACUGAGCCAAUGCCUCACACAAGGGAGGCAGCACAGCAGGUUAAACUGAAGGUAUCUCAUAGCUCUAAGUCUUAAACUUAACGAGCCACGUCUUUAUUUGUGCUGCAGCCCCUUCUUAGCCCAAAUUGCCUUUACCAGCUGCCAGAGGAUGCCUGGUAACGGAAAAUUCUCUGGGUAACAAUAAAUUGGUGUAACGAUUGAGUGUCACCUCACAUCCUGCUAAGCAAUAGAGAAAUCACCACGAGAAAAAUAGGCACGACCAGAGUGGCACUGAACAGUGCAAUCCUAAUUCCAUCACCCUUCUUGUGGGCGACUGAUAACCCAGAGCAAUUUACAGCUGCUCUGAAGCGGCUCCAAGUCUCAGCAGGAGUCGGGAAAGCUCAGUGUAGCCUCGGGACUGAGAAGUCGAAAGGAGCAGGGGAGUUGUUGUUCCAUAACCUUGCCUUUGCACCAAAACCAGGGGGCUGGUUUGGAAUGGGAAGCACUCCAAGCAAAACACAAAAUUUUAAUCACCGAAAUGAAGGUCCUCCUCUGGCUCCCUCUCUGGAGAAUAGUCUGUCUCUGAUGAUCGUGCACAGACUCCCAAAGAAGGUAAAUUUUGGAUUUUAAUCUCUACGUCAGCGUGUGAAUGACAGCGUUAAAUCUUGGCUGUAAGGCUGAGAUAUCUCCAAGAGGAGAAAAACACUUUUUCCACUUAAGUGGCUGAGGUAGAGGAGGUAAAUAUAUUGUCUCCCACUAUUAAAGGGUGAGGAAAUCAUUUAUACAUGUGUAUUACACCUUUUCACUUAACAGUGGAGUUCUUUUUUAAAUUCAAGAGUCUAAAAGUUUAGAAAUACCAACAUUAAGGUGGCCUAUGCAACUGUAAUUUGUCCCUUCCAUGCAUUUGCAUUAUGAUACAGUAUUUAAUUCUAAUUAGAUCGCAUGCUGUUCUUUCAACAGGUUCCUGGCCUCACUCAUUGUACAGAAUAGACUCUGCUCACUAAGUAAUAAUUUUAUUUUCUCCUCGCUGUUCA